GCGCCUGGCCCCAGCCGGUCUCGGGGGGCGGGGGAAGAAUGUCAGGGCGCGGCCUGUCUCCCAGAGGCCUCUCCUCGGCCUACAGCACCUUUGGGCAAAAAGGGCGACCCACAGGCCUCUCACAUUCGGCGCUAACCAUCCUCAGCCCCCUCGCCCUGGGCUCCUUUAGUACUCAACAGGCCAGUGGGGGCACUUAACGGAAGCUGAGCUGCUGCCCUGUCCGUGGGAAGCCUCUCCUGGGUGUAUUUAGAACCGAGGGUCCCUCAAGGGACGUGAGGUCAGUACGCCCGUGUAUGCAGGCGCGUUCAGCUGGUGAUACCGGAGAUGCUGACACUCCUGCUGUAUCCUCUCUUGGAGAGAAACCCGGUGCUCAGCUCAAGGCUCAGCCUUUCAGGAAAGGGCACUCGAAUAUUAUUCUGGUGUCUUCUACAGGGCCAAGAUAACCCGAAAGUAUCCCGGUUCCAGGAGGCCUGCCUCAGCCAGGGUGCAGGCUGUCAGCGAGAUUUCCCGGGUGUGCUCCAGAUUGGAGACAGGCCUGACUAACCCCGAAUCCGGGAUUAGAUAGCAGGGCCUGGGUGAUCGGUGGCAAGGUCGCUAGGCUCCUCCGGCAGCAGAGCCUCCCCAAGCAGGGUAGCCAUACAGGCCACCCUGUCGCAGGCCUGGGGCGGCACGAAGCGGAGGAUCAGUGUGCAAUGGCCUUGGGAAGUCUCCGACGCUUAAACUGUCUGAAUAAUUUGCAUGGAGCGGCUAUUCAUUAUUUCCGAUGAUUUUCCUUCGCAAGCAGCUCGGACGUGGCCGGCUGUGGUUCAACGCGAUCGGAGAGCUCGUAUUUUCAUCUGUAAAUUAAAGCAAUUACGCAGCAGA